UACUGCUCGUAUACUGAUCGUGACGUAAAAGUAUAUACAUCCAGAGCUCACUACGUCGGAUACUGUAUCCCAUAAUGCAACGCGGCACCGUUGGAAAAAAACCGUUGAACAUUUCGAAAAAUGGCGGCGGAAAAUGCGAGCGAUGAAUAUAAAUGGACUGAUGUAGACACCGCAGCUCUCAUCAGUUGGAGAUCUACGAAUGAGGGCAUGUUCACGGGCAGGAGGAAUGCGGCGCAGAAGGGGUUCGAAGAAUUUAUUAAGGUCCAGGGGCUAGAGGGGAAGAUGGAGGCCACCAAAAUUAAAAGGAAAUGGGAGAACCUCAAACAAAAAUAUAAGGUAAGGAUGUCAUGGAAAUGUCUGUUACUUUUUCCACAGAACUACAUAGUUAUGAUUAUUGUCAUUAGUCUGCUUGCUUGCUUCUGUUGUUUUGUAGGAGUUGAAAGCACCCAGGACAGGGGUGAGCACUGAGGGAGGAGAGACCACUGCUGCAUCCUGGAAGUGGUAUGGGCCAAUGGAUGAGGCACUAGGCGGGAGGCCAUCAAUAAGUCCUCCCGUACUAGUGGACUCAUCCGCCCAGGAUGUGGCAGUGGUCUCUCCUCCCUCAGUGCACCCGAGUACCCCAAAUCUGGGCAAAAGGAAGAGGGAGUCUGAAUGGCAGGAAAUAUUAAAGGAAAUCCAGGAGAAGGAGGAAGAAAGAGAGCUAAUUCAGAUAGAAAGAGAAGAAAGGCGAGAGAGAGAGGCGAUUGAAAGAGAGGAUCG